UAGGGAAUCUUCGGCAAUGGACGAAAGUCUGACCGAGCAACGCCGCGUGAGUGAAGAAGGUUUUCGGAUCGUAAAACUCUGUCGGUAGAGAAGAACGUUGGUGAGAGUGGAAAGCUCAUCAAGUGACGGUAACUACCCAGAAAGGGACGGCUAACUACGUGUCAG
rnacentral:rRNA from 1 species